AGGAGCUGGUUGUGGCCGUCAACUGGUGAAGUUUUCUGGCAAGGUAUCUAUGAGAAAGAAAGAAAUUUGAAAAACAAAGAGAAGGAGAAAAGGAGGCAACAGAGUAAGGAUAAAAUCAAAAGGAUCAAGAAUCGAACCCAUCAAAAAGCAUUAGGAAAAUAUGUGAAGCCUCCUCCUGAAGAUUUGGAAAAAUUAAACGCAACGACGACAACAACAGCAACAGCAAGGCUAAUGAGGUAGCACUAGUCUACAGGUAGUCUGUCCAAAGUUAAAUAGUCUAAUUUGGUCAAUAUAUAUAUAUAUUUUUCGAAAUCCCUACCAUUUUUUCAUUUUUGUUCAGAGGGAUGUUAUAGGUUUUUAUUACAUGUAUGUGAGGGUAUUGAGCAUAGAUGCAUCCUUCUG
rnacentral:misc_RNA from 1 species